rnacentral:lncRNA from 1 species
CCAAACCAGAAAAACGCUGGGCUGCUGAAGCAGAGAGUGCAAACUUAACCACUCGGCUGUGGGACCAGCCCCUCUAGAGGCCUUUCAAAUUUCAAUCAUAUUCUUUAUGAAAAGUUCCAGCAAAACAGACUUUAAAAAGCCUAUAUGAUCAAUUGCUACUCUUGUUGUACUUCUGCAAAUAAUUGGGCCAAGUUUAUUGAAACUAGAUUUGUUUUACCAACCAAGUAGUCUUAAUUUGGCUAUCUUUAGUAAAAAAGGAGGGUGGUUUAAGGGACAAAAAUUUUGUAGAAAUUGUAAAACUUCAGUGGAAACUAUAAUACACAUUUGUGGAUAUUAGAUUCUUGUUGUGUUAAUUCUCUUUGAGGCUUUUGUUUUCUACCUGCAAACUGGAUUUGAUCCUGAAUUCUUCUAGUUUCCUCAAAUAUCUGGCUACAUCUCUCCAAACUAAUGCUUCCAGUUUCCCCACCCUGCUGUUAAUUUGGAAUAAUUGAGAACUGAACCAUCAUUUUUCCUGAAGCCCUGCAAACUGAAGCUGGACAACUCGAUAUAAACUUAGGAGAGAUUACCAUGAUAGCUCAUGUUUAGACAAUCUUCAUACUUGUUGCUGUGUAAGCCACUCAAAAAAGUUUACUUGAAUACUUGAUGACAUCAUCAGAGACAUUUCAAACUGCAAAAGACCUUGACAUCUGAAAUAUUCUGACCAGUUGUCCCCUGGGCUCAGAAACUGGUUUAUAAUUUGCUCCAACCACUAACCUUUGUUUUUUUUUUUGUUUCCAUAGAAAUGCCUCCUAUUAAAUACCUGAUUUCUUGCUUAUACAAUACAGGCCUUACUUUGGGAGCCCACAUGCAUCACCACCUCCUGAAAUAAAUUUAACUGGACUGACCUAUUGUCAAGUCUAAGAGGCUGAUUCAGUGAGAUGGAAUAAUCUACCAACUCAGCUUCUUGACUGUGAAAUUUAUAGGAGUUUCAAAGGCUCUUCUCUGCUUUCCUGGAGGAGACUUCGUCCUUCAUCAUAAUUGCUCUUCCUGUGUCAUUUCCUCUGAGGCUCCUCCAGACUCUACUGAUAAAACGAAAAAUUCUAUUUGGUGAUAGUGUCAGUGAGCAAUUAUUGUUCAAUGUGUUAUCCCUCCUAGGUAGUAUUUAUAAGUUAAACAACAGUUUUCUGCACUUCUGUCCAAAAGAGUGACGCAUGAUAAGCGGUUUAGCACCUUAUUGGUGUUGUAAAUACCACACCUUGACCCUGAAAAGCAGAAAGAUGAAAAUAUUCUUCUAGGUCUUAGAAUUAAUUCAAGCUUAUUGGUUUUAUGCAAAAGCUGGGCUUGUGUAGUUGUGAAGGAGCGUGAGUGGGGUGGGAGUUAUUCUCUGACAUUCUUGUAACAUGGGAAACCUAUUGCUCUGCCUCGUUUCCUAUCUAUGUGUUUCUUCUGAGCUGCUAAGGCAAUUUGAAGAAACUUAAGAAAGAAUGUGAGGGGUUGCUAAUAACAUCCCUCCCAGCUCUGUGCCAGCAAAUUCUAGCCUGAGCGGCGAGAACCCUCUUAGCCUGUAGGGGGUGAUGGUUGCAUGCCUAAUAAAAACAGACGUGACUGAUGUUGACUUGGUUUC